UUGUAGCAUUUUUUACAAAUAUUUUUUGGCAGAAAACAUCCACAUAAUGUUCAGUCAGUAAGUGAAAAUUAGAAAACUAUAUAAUACUUUUCU